rnacentral:rRNA from 5 species
AUCACUCGGCUCGUGGAUCGAUGAAGACCGCAGCUAAAUGCGCGUCAG